GUGGGGAAUAUUGCACAAUGGAGGAAACUCUGAUGCAGCGACGCCGCGUGAGUGAAGAAGUAAUUCGUUAUGUAAAGCUCUAUCAGCAGGGAAGAUAGUGACGGUACCUGACUAAGAAGCUCCGGCUAAAUACGUGCCAGCAGCCGCGGUAAUACGUAUGGAGCAAGCGUUAUCCGGAUUUACUGGGUGUAAAGGGAGUGUAGGUGGCCAUGCAAGUCAGAAGUGAAAAUCCGGGGCUCAACCCCGGAACUGCUUUUGAAACUGUGAGGCUGGAGUGCAGGAGGGGUGAGUGGAAUUCCUAGUGUAGCGGUGAAAUGCGUAGAUAUUAGGAGGAACACCAGUGGCGAAGGCGGCUCACUGGACUGUAACUGACACUGAGGCUCGAAAGCGUGGGGAGCAAACAGGAUUAGAAACCCUAGUAGUCC
rnacentral:rRNA from 1 species